rnacentral:rRNA from 1 species
GUGGGGAAUCUUCCGCAAUGGACGAAAGUCUGACGGAGCGACGCCGCGUGAGUGAUGAAGGCCUUCGGGUCGUAAAGCUCUGUCAUCGGGGACGAAUGGUCGUUGGAGUGGAAAGCCAGCGAAAUGACGGUACCCGAGAAGGAAGCCACGGCUAACUACGUGCCAGCAGCCGCGGUAAUACGUAGGUGGCAAGCGUUGUCCGGAAUUAUUGGGCGUAAAGCGCGCGCAGGUGGGAUCUUAAGUCCAUUUUGAAAGUUCGGAGCUCAACUCCGUGAUGGGAUGGAAACUGGGAUUCUUGAGUACCGGAGAGGAAAGCGGAAUUCCCCGUGUAGCGGUGAAAUGCGUAGAUAUGGGGAGGAACACCAGUGGCGAAGGCGGCUUUCUGGACGGUGUCUGACACUGAGGCGCGAAAGCCAGGGGAGCGAACGGGAUUAGAUACCCUGGUAGUCC